UACAGAGGGUGCGAGCGUUGUCCGGAAUCACUGGGCGUAAAGGGCGCGUAGGUGGUGGCUUAAGCGUGCGGUGAAAGCUCGGAGCUCAACUCCGAGUCGGCCGUGCGAACUGGGCUCACUGGAGCAUAGUAGAGGCAGGUGGAAUUCCUGGUGUAGCGGUGGAAUGCGCAGAUAUCAGGAGGAACACCAACGGCGAAGGCAGCUCGCUGGGACGGUACUGACACUGAGGCGCGAAAGCGUGGGGAGCGAACAGG
rnacentral:rRNA from 1 species